ACUGAUUCAGAUUGAUAAAGGAUUGUCUGAGUCUUCGGAGGAUGAAGCAGCUCUUCAUGUUGUGCUCUGAAGAUUUCUCCGCUCAGAUCUUGUUCUCCAGCGCUUGUGGCUCUGACACAGGUUUGAUGAUGAAAGGGGCCUUGGGCUCCGGUUCUCCUCGGGCCCCUGCGGGUCUGACUGCUAAUGAGGCCCCUGCCCAUCAUCCUCCACUGUUGUUUAGAAAUCAGACACAGAGCCUCAGAUUGGACUGCAUUAUUUGUCUUUCAGGGAAACUAAAUAAUAAUAAAUAUCAGAUCACCUCUCUCUCUCCUCCAGGCCAGCACAGGCUGCCCCUUCUAACCCCUGAUUACCUGAUGUUCUUCGUGAACAUCGGACCAAACUCAGGGCAGAAGAGAAAAUGGUGCAAAUCAAAAGAUCCAUCAGACCUGAGUAUGUAUUGGUCUUUACUGUUAUCUUUCUCUGCUGAAGUCCAUACUGCCAAAUCUUCAUACUUCCAUAGCAAGAUCAACAGCGCCCCAGACACACGUAAUCUCUUCAAAACAUUAAAUUCUCUCCUCUGUCCCCCUCCACCACCUCCCACCACUUCUAUAACAGCCGCCACAUUCUUCACAGACAAAACCAGAAAAAUCAGCAGUCAAUUCUCAGCCCCACACACACAGGACCUCAAACCAACCACACCCACUGCUGAAACUCCCAUCUUCCCCUCCUGUCCCCUCACUGAGGCAGAAGUAUCAAAACUUCUCCUCUCCAGCGAUCCUACAACAUGCCCUCUAGACCCAAUCCCCUCACACCUUCUCCAAGCAAUCUCUCCUACCCUCUUACCAGCACUCACACACAUCAUCAACACAUCUCUCCUCACAGACACCUUCUCCACUGCAUUCAAGCAGGCUCUGUAACCCCACUGCUCAAGAAACCUACAUUAAACACUUCACUUACAGAUAGCUACAGACCUGUCUCUCUCCUUCCAUUCACAGCGAAAACCCUCAAAAUAGCUGUUUUCAACCAGUUAUCAUUGUUUUUCACAGAACAACAAACUGGACGCUAACCAGUCAGGUUUCAGGAGUGGCCAUUCAACUGAGACUGCGCUACUGUCAGUCACGGAAGCCCUGCUGCUUUUGACACUGUCAGUCAUCA
ensembl:lncRNA